rnacentral:rRNA from 1 species
UAAUUCUAGAGCUAAUACAUGCCACGAUGCCCUGACCCGCAAGGGAAUGGGUGCAUUUAUUAGAACAGAACCAACCGGUGAGACUUGUCUCGCUGUUGCACUCUGUGAUGACUCUGGAUAACUUUACUGAUCGCAGUUGGCCUUGAGCCGGCGACGGAUCCUUCAAAUGUCUGCCCUAUCAAUUUUCGAUGGUAGGUGACCUGCCUACCAUGGUUAUAACGGGUAACGGGGAAUCAGGGUUCGAUUCCGGAGAGGGAGCCUGAGAAACGGCUACCACUUCCAAGGAAGGCAGCAGGCGCGCAAAUUACCCAAUCCCGGCGCGGGGAGGUAGUGACGAAAAAUACGGAUGCAGGACUCGACAGAGGCUUUGCAAUUCGAAUGAGUACAAUUUAAAUCCUUUAACGAGGAUCAACUGGAGGGCAAGUCUGGUGCCAGCAGCCGCGGUAACUCCAGCUCCAGAAGCGUAUAUUAAAGUUGUUGCGGUUAAAAAGCUCGUAGUUGGAUCUGGGUCGCAUAGCCUUGUACCGUCGUGUUUUUGACCUGGGUUUUACUCGGUCGGGGCGUCUUG